AUAUCAAUAAGCGGAGGAAAAGAAACCAACAGGGAUUGCCUCAGUAACGGCGAGUGAAGCGGCAACAGCUCAAAUUUGAAAUCUGGCUCUUUCAGGGUCCGAGUUGUAAUUUGUAGAGGAUGUUUCGGGUGUGGCUCCGGUCUAAGUUCCUUGGAACAGGACGUCAUAGAGGGUGAGAAUCCCGUAUGUGACUGGUAGCCUAUGCUCAUGUGAAACUCCUUCGACGAGUCGAGUUGUUUGGGAAUGCAGCUCAAAAUGGGUGGUAAAUUUCAUCUAAAGCUAAAUAUUGGCCAGAGACCGAUAGCGCACAAGUAGAGUGAUCGAAAGAUGAAAAGCACUUUGGAAAGAGAGUUAAACAGUAC
rnacentral:rRNA from 1 species